GACGAACGCUGGCGGCGUGCUUAACACAUGCAAGUCGAACGGAAAGGCCCUGCUUGCAGGGUACUCGAGUGGCGAACGGGUGAGUAACACGUGGGUGAUCUGCCCUGCACUUCGGGAUAAGCCUGGGAAACUGGGUCUAAUACCGGAUAGGAGCCAUUUUUAGUGUGAUGGUUGGAUAGUUUUUUCGGUGUAGGAUGAGCUCGCGGCCUAUCAGCUUGUUGGUGGGGUAAUGGCCUACCAAGGCGGCGACGGGUAGCCGGCCUGAGAGGGUGGACGGCCACAUUGGGACUGAGAUGCGGCCCAGACUCCUACGGGAGGCAGCAGUGGGGAAUAUUGCACAAUGGGCGCAAGCCUGAUGCAGCGACGCCGCGUGGGGGAUGACGGCCUUCGGGUUGUAAACUCCUUUCGCUAGGGACGAAGCUUUUUGUGACGGUACCUAGAUAAGAAGCACCGGCUAACUACGUG
rnacentral:rRNA from 1 species